GCAGCAGUAGCUCAGGAGGUAGAGCAGGCGUCUGACAAGCGGAAGGUUGCUGGUUCGAUCCCCGGCUCCUCCUA